rnacentral:rRNA from 1 species
UACGCAGGUGGCGAGCGUUGCCCGGAAUUACUGGGCGUAAAGGGUGCGUAGGCGGCCGGACAAGUCAUAGGUUAAGGCCCGGAGCUCAACUCCGGAAAGGCCUAUGAUACUGUCUGGCUUGAGGGCCGGAGAGGCUGGCGGAAUUCCCGGUGUAGGGGUGAAAUCCGUAGAUAUCGGGAGGAACACCGGUGGGGAAGCCGGCCAGCUGGACGGUUCCUGACGCUGAGGCACGAAAGCGUGGGGAGCAAACCGG